rnacentral:rRNA from 1 species
GCGAUCCGCCGGUGGAUUUUUAGCCCUGGUGGGUAGCUUCCCGGAAACGAAAGUCUUCCGGUUCCGGGGGAAGUAUGGUUGCAAAGCUGAAACUUAAAGGAAUUGACGGAAGGGCACCACCAGGAGUGGAGCCUGCGGCUUAAUUUGACUCAACACGGGGAAACUCACCCGGCCCGGACACCGUAAGGAUUGACAGAUUGAUAGCUCUUUCAUGAUUCGGUGGUUGGUGGUGCAUGGCCGUUCUUAGUUCGUGGAUCGAUUUGUCUGGUUUAUUCCGAUAACGAGCGAGACUCUAGCCUACUAAAUAGUAACGAGAUUAUCAAUGUCUCAGUUGCUUCUUAGAGGGAUUUUCGGUGUUUAGCCGCACGAGAUUGAGCAAUAACAGGUCUGUGAUGCCCUUAGAUGUCCGGGGCUGCACGCGCGCUACACUGGCGAAAUCAGCGUGCUGUAUCCAUUCUCGAAAGGGAUUGGUAAACCCAUGAAAAUUUGCCGUGCUUGGGAUCGGAAAUUGCAAUUAUUUUCCGUGAACGAGGAAUUCCAAGUAAGUGCGAGUCAUCAACUCGCUCUGAUUACGUC